rnacentral:tRNA from 2 species
GUGUGGGUAGUAUAAUUCAUUAUUCUUAUCUUCCAAAUAAGAGAUCUAGGUUAGUCUACAUU